UACGGAGGGGGCUAGCGUUGUUCGGAAUUACUGGGCGUAAAGCGCACGUAGGCGGCUUUGUAAGUUAGAGGUGAAAGCCCAGGGCUCAACCCUGGAAUUGCCUUUAAGACUGCAUCGCUUGAACAUCGGAGAGGUAAGUGGAAUUCCGAGUGUAGAGGUGAAAUUCGUAGAUAUUCGGAAAGAACACCAGUGGCGAAGGCGACUUACUGGACGAUUGUUGACGCUGAGGUGCGAAAGCGUGGGGAGCAAACAGG
rnacentral:rRNA from 1 species